UACGGAGGGGGCUAGCGUUGUUCGGAAUUACUGGGCGUAAAGCGCACGUAGGCGGAUCAGUCAGUCAGGGGUGAAAUCCCGGGGCUCAACCCCGGAACUGCCUUUGAUACUGCUGGUCUGGAGGUCGAGAGAGGUGAGUGGAAUUCCGAGUGUAGAGGUGAAAUUCGUAGAUAUUCGGAGGAACACCAGUGGCGAAGGCGGCUCACUGGCUCGAUUCUGACGCUGAGGUGCGAAAGCGUGGGGAGCAAACAGG
rnacentral:rRNA from 1 species